CGGUGUAGCGGUGAAAUGCGUAGAUAUCGGGAAGAACACCAGUGGCGAAGGCGCUCUGCUGGGCCAUCACUGACGCUCAUGGACGAAAGCCAGGGGAGCGAAAGGGAUUAGAUACCCCUGUAGUCCUGGCCGUAAACGAUGAACACUAGGUGUCGGGGGAAUCGACCCCCUCGGUGUCGUAGCCAACGCGUUAAGUGUUCCGCCUGGGGAGUACGCACGCAAGUGUGAAACUCAAAGGAAUUGACGGGGGCCCGCACAAGCGGUGGAGUAUGUGGUUUAAUUCGAUGCAACGCGAAGAACCUUACCAGGGUUUGACAUCCUGCGAAUCUCUUGGAAACGAGAGAGUGCCUUCGGGAACGCAGUGACAGGUGGUGCAUGGCUGUCGUCAGCUCGUGUCGUGAGAUGUUGGGUUAAGUCCCGCAACGAGCGCAACCCACGUCUUUAGUUGCCAGCAUUCAGUUGGGCACUCUAGAGAGACCGCCGGUGAUAAACCGGAGGAAGGUGUGGAUGACGUCAAGUCAUCAUGCCCCUUACAUCCUGGGCUACACACGUACUACAAUGCUACGGACAAAGGGCAGCAAGUUCGCGAGGACAAGCAAAUCCCAUAAACCGUGGCUCAGUUCAGAUCGUAGGCUGCAACUCGCCUACGUGAAGGAGGAAUCGCUAGUAAUCGCAGGUCAGCAUACUGCGGUGAAUACGUUCCCGGGCCUUGUACACACCGCCCGUCACACCAUGGAAGUUGGCCACGCCCGAAGCCGUUACUCCAACCCUUGUGGAGGAGGACGUCGAAGGUGGGGCUGAUGACUGGGGUGAAGUCGUAACAAGGUAACCGUA
rnacentral:rRNA from 1 species